rnacentral:lncRNA from 10 species
CCUGUGUGUGUGCCAGAGCUUCCCACAGACUCGGGAAGAAGGUGCCGGAGGCUUGCCGGGCGGCCUUGCGGUUUGAAGCAGUGAGUCACCUUCUGGCUGCAAGUCAAGGAACUCUCACUGCGCCCUUGUUUGGACAAGACGAGGAGGCGCACUCAGAGUCAGAGACCCCGGGGCAGAGACAGGGGCAAGAAGAAGGGGCCACCGAGACCCCAAGAGAGUCAGGGAGACAGACGCACCAAACGACCGACACAACCAGGGACAGCAGGGAGGAAAAGUUGCCUAUCUGUUGGGUCAGAUUUCUGAAGACUGAUGAGGCCCAUUUUCUGGCUGGAGUGAAAUGACAUGAUCUCAGCUCACUGAAACUUCUGCCUCCCAGGUUCAAGCAAUUCUCCUGCCUCAGCCUCGCGAGUAGCUGGGAUUACAGAUAUCCUUCGAGUUGGAUUUCGACUGGGUUCUGCCAGUGGGAUGUAUCCAUGCGAGAUUCUGGAACUAACAUCAGAGAGAGUCCAAGCUUCUAACUUUUAUCAGCGGCAGUGACAAUAGUCAAGCAGCAUUGAUGACAAACGGCAAGAGUUUAGAAAGUACCAGUGACGUGCCUGAUAGAAUCUCACCACAAGAUGGAAGCCAACUCGUCAGAAGCCUGGAAAGCCCACCCAGCGUGGGACCUCUGUGGGUCCAGGAUCUUGGAAUGGUAUCCCAUGGUUCAAUCUUCUGGAUUCAACCACAUAAAUUUACCCCACCCAUGUCGUGGACCCAAGCUUCCUACCAUGUAUACUUAGCUUAAAUGCAAGAUAGUACUAUUUUGUUCAUCUUGAUUGGAGUGAGAAAUGAAUAGGUCCAUGCACAUAUAUUUCUUUUACCACAACAAGAUGAUGAAGAAAUAAAUCCAUAAUAUCGAUACUUUUGUAUAAGUUGUGUUUACAGUUGCGGUAAGAAAUUUUAUAAUUGUUGAUUUGCUUUAUAUAAUUUCUGCUUGCUUUUUAUGAUAUUUAAAACAAAAUCUAAGCAACAAAUUUUAUGUCUGAUUAGAUUUACAGAAGCUGCUUAAGUGCUUAGGGAUAAUUUGUUCAUCAUAUUUGUAAGUCUCCCUUGUUAGGUGUUUGAAGUGUUUGAAUUGGCUAAAUUAAAUUUGUAAUUGUAGUUUGAAAUAUCUAAAGGAAUUUUCUUAAUUAAGUGUUUAAAUGAUGUUAAAAGUUUGUGGGAAUUUAAUCUAUCAAAUUUAUGAGUUAAUUGAAUAUGAAUCAAUGAACAAGUAAAUGUGAUCUUGCUUUUAUAUAAAAACUACUAAGUUCAUAAAUAAAAUACAAAGAUCCAUAAGUUGAGAGGAAAAGCAAAAGAGCCAGAUUCUAAGAUCUAUAACUUAAAAAAAUUAAAUAUUGAUUGAAAUGUAAGUCAUUGCAAUUAUCCCCACUAGCUGAAAUCUCACAUCUGAGUGCUUACACACAAAACAAAAUGUUACCCUGAACAUACUAAACAAAUAAAAAACCACGUGGUAAUUACUAUACACAUGCUCACUGCUGGAAGCAUUCAUACUGCACUCAAAUCCAGGUGGGAGAAUGCAGCGUGUGCUACAGGUGAAUCUCGGCUGUUCUCUUAUGGGGAUCAGGUCUUUUUCUUAAUUAUCUUCCACGGAUUUUUCUUCCUUUACCCAGAGACCUGGAGGCCCUCCCAGCCCAGGUCCAAUUCAGAUGGAUACAUACUUAACAUCACUAACCUAUUGAUUUGCUUGUUUAUUU